CGCGUAGGUGGCUAAUUAAGUCAAAUGUGAAAUCCCCGAGCUUAACUUGGGAAUUGCAUUCGAUACUGGUUAGCUAGAGUAUGGGAGAGGAUGGUAGAAUUCCAGGUGUAGCGGUGAAAUGCGUAGAGAUCUGGAGGAAUACCGAUGGCGAAGGCAGCCAUCUGGCCUAAUACUGACGCUGAGGCGCGAAAGCGUGGGGAGCAAACAGGAUUAGAUACCCCCAGUA
rnacentral:rRNA from 1 species